GAUGAACGCUGGCGGCGUGCCUAAUACAUGCAAGUCGAGCGAACGGACGAGAAGCUUGCUUCUCUGAUGUUAGCGGCGGACGGGUGAGUAACACGUGGAUAACCUACCUAUAAGACUGGGAUAACUUCGGGAAACCGGAGCUAAUACCGGAUAAUAUUUUGAACCGCAUGGUUCAAAAGUGAAAGACGGUCUUGCUGUCACUUAUAGAUGGAUCCGCGCUGCAUUAGCUAGUUGGUAAGGUAACGGCUUACCAAGGCAACGAUGCAUAGCCGACCUGAGAGGGUGAUCGGCCACACUGGAACUGAAACACGGUCCAGACUCCUACGGGAGGCAGCAGUAGGGAAUCUUCCGCAAUGGGCGAAAUCCUGACGGAGCAACGCCGCGUGAGUGAUGAAGGUCUUCGGAUCGUAAAACUCUGUUAUUAGGGAAGAACAUAUGUGUAAGUAACUGUGCACAUCUUGACGGUACCUAAUCAGAAAGCCACGGCUAACUACGUG
rnacentral:rRNA from 1 species